CAGGAUGAACGCUGGCGGCGUGCCUAAUACAUGCAAGUCGAACGCACAGCGAAAGGUGCUUGCACCUUUCAAGUGAGUGGCGAACGGGUGAGUAACACGUGGACAACCUGCCUCAAGGCUGGGGAUAACAUUUGGAAACAGAUGCUAAUACCGAAUAAAACUUAGUGUCGCAUGACACAAAGUUAAAAGGCGCUUCGGCGUCACCUAGAGAUGGAUCCGCGGUGCAUUAGUUAGUUGGUGGGGUAAAGGCCUACCAAGACAAUGAUGCAUAGCCGAGUUGAGAGACUGAUCGGCCACAUUGGGACUGAGACACGGCCCAAACUCCUACGGGAGGCUGCAGUAGGGAAUCUUCCACAAUGGGCGAAAGCCUGAUGGAGCAACGCCGCGUGUGUGAUGAAGGCUUUCGGGUCGUAAAGCACUGUUGUAUGGGAAGAACAGCUAGAAUAGGAAAUGAUUUUAGUUUGACGGUACCAUACCAGAAAGGGACGGCUAAAUACGUGCCAGCAGCCGCGGUAAUACGUAUGUCCCGAGCGUUAUCCGGAUUUAUUGGGCGUAAAGCGAGCGCAGACGGUUUAUUAAGUCUGAUGUGAAAGCCCGGAGCUCAACUCCGGAAUGGCAUUGGAAACUGGUUAACUUGAGUGCAGUAGAGGUAAGUGGAACUCCAUGUGUAGCGGUGGAAUGCGUAGAUAUAUGGAAGAACACCAGUGGCGAAGGCGGCUUACUGGACUGCAACUGACGUUGAGGCUCGAAAGUGUGGGUAGCAAACAGGAUUAGA
rnacentral:rRNA from 1 species